GGCGGCUCGAGUGGUGGCCACUAUUACUGGGCUUAAAGCGUUCGUAGCUGGUCUGUUAAGUCUCUGGGGAAAUCUUCCGGCUCAACCGGAAGGCGUCUCAGGGAUACUGGCAGACUAGGGACCGGGAGAGGUGAGGGGUACUCCAGGGGUAGGAGUGAAAUCCUGUAAUCCUUGGGGGACCGACCUGUGGCGAAGGCGCCUCACCAGAACGGCUCCGACAGUGAGGAACGAAAGCUGGGGGAGCAAACC
rnacentral:rRNA from 1 species